rnacentral:rRNA from 1 species
UACGAAGGGGGCUAGCGUUGCUCGGAAUCACUGGGCGUAAAGGGUGCGUAGGCGGGUCUUUAAGUCAGGGGUGAAAUCCUGGAGCUCAACUCCAGAACUGCCUUUGAUACUGAAGAUCUUGAGUUCGGGAGAGGUGAGUGGAACUGCGAGUGUAGAGGUGAAAUUCGUAGAUAUUCGCAAGAACACCAGCGGCGAAGGCGGCUUUCUGGUCCGAUUCUGACGCUGAGGCGCGAAAGCGUGGGGAGCGAUCCGG